UACAGAGGGGGUAAGCGUUGUUCGGAAUUACUGGGCGUAAAGGGCGCGUAGGCGGCCUGUUAAGUCGAACGUGAAAUCCCCGGGCUCAACCCGGGAACUGCGUCCGAUACUGGCAGGCUUGAAUCCGGGAGAGGGAUGCGGAAUUCCAGGUGUAGCGGUGAAAUGCGUAGAUAUCUGGAGGAACACCGGUGGCGAAGGCGGCAUCCUGGACCGGUAUUGACGCUGAGGCGCGAAAGCCAGGGGAGCAAACGGG
rnacentral:rRNA from 1 species